rnacentral:rRNA from 1 species
AUUGAACGCUGGCGGCAGGCCUAACACAUGCAAGUCGAGCGGAUGAAGGGAGCUUGCUCCUGGAUUCAGCGGCGGACGGGUGAGUAAUGCCUAGGAAUCUGCCUGGUAGUGGGGGAUAACGUCCGUAAACGGGCGCUAAUACCGCAUACGUCCUGUGGGAGAAAGUGGGGGAUCUUCGGACCUCACGCUAUCAGAAGCGCCUAGGUCGGAUUAGCUAGUUGGUGAGGUAAAGGCCUACCAAGCCGACGAUCCGUAACUCAUCUGAGAGGAUGAUCAGUCACACUGGAACUGAGACACGGUCCAGACUCCUACGGGAGGCAGCAGCGGGGAAUAUUGAACAAUGGGCGAAAGCCUGAUCCAGCCAUGCCGCGUGUGUGAAGAAGGUCUUCGGAUUGUAAAGCCCUUUCAGUAGGGAGGAAGAGCAGUAAGUUAAUACCUUGAUGUUUUGACGCUACCAACAGAAUAAGCACCGGCUAACUUCGUG